UACGUAGGGUGCAAGCGUUGUCCGGAAUUAUUGGGCGAAAGAGCUCGUAGGCGGUCUGUCACGUCGGCUGUGAAAUCCCGAGGCUCAACCUCGGGUCUGCAGUCGAUACGGGCAAACUAGAGUAUUGCAGGGGAGACUGGAAUUCCUGGUGUAGCGGUGAAAUGCGCAGAUAUCAGGAGGAACACCGGUGGCGAAGGCGGGUCUCUGGGCAAUAACUGACGCUGAGGAGCGAAGCGUGGGGAGCGAACAGG
rnacentral:rRNA from 1 species